UCAUCAGCAGCCAGCAAGCUGCCUGGAGCUCACCAUGGGACUCCAUAGCACGGCUCUGUUUCCGGUGGCCUGGGAAGAAACUGGGCCCAUAAUCCUGGGCACAAGGACCAUUGGUGUCUCAGCCUUGCCGCAAUUCCUGGAAUAUCUUCACUGGGUCAAACAAUGCCCCCCAAAUUCACACUCACCCAGGCCAGAAGGAGACUUUGUAUGGGAACAGGAUCUUCAUGGGUGCGAUUAAGGUAACUCAAAACCUGAUGCUGGUGUUCUGAGAGAGGAAUGGAUGUCUGAGACAGAGACAUGGGAGAAACCUGGUGACCACUGAGCUGGAAAACAAGCUAUUGGGCGCCCAGGGCACUAGCAGCCAGCACAACUAGAAAGAGGCUUGGGCCGAUGUCCUCCCCGCCUCGGAAGGAGCCAGCCCUGUUCACACCUUGACUGCAGACUUCAGUUUCUGCUGGUGCUUCCUCAGGAAUGCGGUCUCUACUCCUUCCCUUCUUUCCCAGACUGCUGCCUAGUUCCCCAGCCAGCUUUCCACCCUGGCCGUGAGACAAUGGACAAGAGUCACCAUAACAAAACUGGACACGGGGGCUCAUCACAGACAAAUCCAGAACCCAAGAGAGCAGCGCCCAGCACUGGUGACUUACACAGCGGCUGUGAGGGGUUGGACAGAGGUGAGGACAAGAGGAAGUCCAGGCUUCAUGCAGGUCCCUCCCUGCCCCCAGCUGAGGGAUACUGGGUCCCUAGACCCUACCUCUGAGUGACCUGGGGUUGCCAGGGUCCUCCACAAAGCUGACACGCUUGUGAGGGAGGACACAUGCCCAGGAAGGACUUGUUACAGGCAGUGGCCAGUGAGUCCACACAAGUGCUAAGGGCUGUCCACUGUGCUGGCCUCUAGGCCUCACAGUCACCAUCCCCCAUAGAGGGCAAGGCCAGGCAGAGCCCCAGGCUAUAGCUAUCCUGGCAGGACUGUAGAUAUUCUAAAGGGACACUGUCCCUCCCUGGGCUUUCAGACCUUUGAAAACAACACAUCCCAAGAAACUGGAAUUGCUCCAGGAAUCUCAUGCUGGAGAAAAGAAAGGCCAAAGCAUGUAGCCAACCAGGAGGAGAACUUGCCUCCCAGGAAGACUCCAGACAGCUCCUCAGACCACCUUGCAGGAGACACCAGAGCCCGUCAGCAAUGGUUCAGUGACGGGCAGGACACACUCUGACCAGACGGCUUAGCUAUGCAGACCUCUUGCCCUCUAUUUGAACCUAAACCUCGUGUCAGGACCUGGAAGAUGAACUCGAGGGGGGCCACUGGACCUCUUUAUUUACUCCUCUUCCCAAUGUGACCAUGCUGCAUAAUUCUCUUCUCUCUGCUUUUUGCUGGCUGUUUCCUUAAUUGGUGUAUUGAGGAUGAGUGGGCUAGCCUGGUUUUGUCAAGGCUGCCAGGGUCCAGAUGCUGACUCUAAUAACUCCAGUAAUAAAUCCUGCCUCUCUC